GACGAACGCUGGCGGCGUGCUUAACACAUGCAAGUCGAACGAUGAAGGAGAGCUUGCUCUCCGGAUUAGUGGCGAACGGGUGAGUAACACGUGACUAACCUGCCCCUUUCUCUGGGAUAACGCUCCGAAAGGAGUGCUAAUACCGGAUACGAACUCUGAACACAUGUUCGGAGUUGGAAAGUUUUUCGGAAAGGGAUGGAGUCGCGGCCGAUCAGCUUGUUGGUGAGGUAACGGCUCACCAAGGCGACGACGGGUAGCUGGUCUGAGAGGACGGCCAGCCACACUGGGACUGAGGUACGGCCCAGACUCCUACGGGAGGCCGCAGUGGGGAAUCUUGCGCAAUGGGCGAAAGCCUGACGCAGCGACGCCGCGUGGGGGACGAAGGCCUUCGGGUUGUAAACCCCUUUCGGCAGGGACGAAGCGAUCGUGACGGUACCUGCAGAAGAAGCUCCGGCUAACUACGUGCCAGCCGCCGCAGUAA
rnacentral:rRNA from 1 species